rnacentral:misc_RNA from 1 species
AACGCACAUUGCGCCCCUUAGUAUUCUAUAGGGCAUGCCUGUUCGAGCGUCAUUUAUACCCUUAAGCUUUGCUUAGUGUUGGGUGUUUGUCUCACCUUGUGUGUGGACUCACCUUAAAGCUAUUAGCAGCUAGCCUCCUCGUACUAGAGCGCAGCACAUCGUGCCCUUUGUACUGUGGAUAGUAGCAUCUAUUAAGGCCUAUAUCAACUCUUGACCUCGGAUCAGGUAGGGAUACCCGCUGAACUUAA